rnacentral:antisense_RNA from 1 species
AGACUGAUUAGAAAACCAGCUCAAGGUCAUGUUGCUGCUCUCUCAUUCCUGUUGAGGGCUCUCUGGUGGAGCCUGUCUCACAGGCCACCUGCAGGCCAACACUCCCAGAAGCAGCUAGCACCAUGGUUGACCUCGUCCAGGUCCAGGGAAGGCCUCCCUCUCCAGGACUCCUUUAGAUUUCCCCAGCAUCCAGACCUCACCUGCCAAAGUGCCGUAGCCCUGGAAGCCACACAGUGAGCACGAGCUCCAUCUUGCACCUUUACCAGCCGAUGAGGGUAAAGACAUUAGCUGUAUAGGGGGAAUAGUGGCCAGGAAGAUCUCAGAGGUGGCUUCUGGAAGAGGAACCUGGGUACUGGCUACCCUGCCUUGUGUCCCAUCAUUGGUCUGUCUUGCCUGCCUUGGAGCACAUUUCUCACCAAGCACCAUGGCAGAGGACAGAAGAAGACCAGGA